GCGAAGGUGGCGGAAUUGGUAGACGCGCUAGCUUCAGGUGUUAGUGUUCUUACGGACGUGGGGGUUCAAGCCCCCCCCCCCUCGCACCA
rnacentral:tRNA from 1 species